rnacentral:rRNA from 1 species
GAUGAACGCUGGCGGCGUGCCUAAUACAUGCAAGUCGAGCGAACAGAUGAGGAGCUUGCUCCUCUGACGUUAGCGGCGGACGGGUGAGUAACACGUGGAUAACCUACCUAUAAGACUGGGAUAACUUCGGGAAACCGGAGCUAAUACCGGAUAAUAUAUUUAACCGCAUGGUUCAAUAGUGAAAGACGGUUUUGCUGUCACUUAUAGAUGGAUCCGCGCCGCAUUAGCUAGUUGGUAAGGUAACGGCUUACCAAGGCAACGAUGCGUAGCCGACCUGAGAGGGUGAUCGGCCACACGGGAACUGAGACACGGUCCAGACUCCUACGGGAGGCAGCAGUAGGGAAUCGUCCGCAAUGGGCGAAAGCUUGACGGAGCAACGCCGCGGGAGUGAUGAAGGUCUUCGGAUCGUAAAACUCUGUUAUUAGGGAAGAACAAAUGUGUAAGUAACUAUGCACGUCUUGACGGUACCUAAUCAGAAAGCCACGGCUAACUACGU